rnacentral:rRNA from 2 species
GUUAUAGGAUCAAGCGAAUAAGUGCAUAUGAUGGAUGCCUUGGCGAUCACAGGCGAUGAAGGACGCGGUAGCCUGCGAAAAGCUACGGGGAGCUGGCAAACAAGCUUUGAUCCGUAGAUGUCCGAAUGGGGAAACCCACCGUAGUAAUACGGUAUCCCAUGCUGAAUACAUAGGCAUGUGGAGGCGAACCGAGUGAACUGAACCAUCUCAGUAACUCGAGGAAAAGAAAUCAACCGAGAUUCCGGAAGUAGUGGCGAGCGAAACCGGACCAGCCUGGAUGUUUUAGCGUAUUGAAUAGUCGAAUGGAAUGGAAAGUCCAGCCGUAGCAGGUGAUAGCCCUGUAGGCGAAAUUCAGUACGUGGAACUAAGCAUCGAACAAGUAGGGCGGGACACGUGAAAUCCUGUCUGAAUAUGGGGGGACCAUCCUCCAAGGCUAAAUACUCGUGAUCGACCGAUAGUGAACCAGUACCGUGAGGGAAAGGCGAAAAGAACCCCGGAAGGGGAGUGAAAUAGAUCCUGAAAUCGUAUGCAUACAAACAGUAGGAGCACCUUCGUGGUGUGACUGCGUACCUUUUGUAUAAUGGGUCAGCGACUUACAUUCAGUGGCAAGCUUAACCGAAUAGGGGAGGCGUAGCGAAAGCGAGUCCGAAUAGGGCGAUUCAGUCGCUGGGUGUAGACCCGAAACCAGGCGAUCUAUCCAUGGCCAGGUUGAAGGCACGGUAACACGUGCUGGAGGACCGAACCCACUAAUGUUGAAAAAUUAGGGGAUGAGCUGUGGAUCGGAGUGAAAGGCUAAACAAGCCUGGAGAUAGCUGGUUCUCUCCGAAAACUAUUUAGGUAGUGCCUCGUAUAUUACUGCCGGGGGUAGAGCACUGUUAUGGCUAGGGGGUCACAGCGACUUACCAACCCAUGGCAAACUCCGAAUACCGGCAAGUACAGUACGGGAGACAGAGCACCGGGUGCUAACGUCCGGACUCAAGAGGGAAACAACCCAGACCGCCAGCUAAGGUCCCUAACUAUGGCUAAGUGGGAAACGAAGUGGGAAGGCAUAGACAGUCAGGAGGUUGGCUUAGAAGCAGCCAUCCUUUAAAGAAAGCGUAAUAGCUCACUGAUCGAGUCGUCCUGCGCGGAAGAUGUAACGGGGCUAAGCCAUAGACCGAAGCUGCGGAUGUGUACUUUAGUACACAUGGUAGGAGAGCGUUCCGUAAGCCUGUGAAGGUGUUCCGUGAGGAAUGCUGGAGGUAUCGGAAGUGAGAAUGCUGACAUGAGUAGCGAUAAAGGGGGUGAAAAGCCCCCUCGCCGUAAGUCCAAGGUUUCCUGCGCAACGUUCAUCGGCGCAGGGUGAGUCGGCCCCUAAGGCGAGGCAGAGAUGCGUAGCUGAUGGGAAGCGGGUUAAUAUUCCCGCACCGUCGUAGAGUGCGAUGGGGGGACGGAUUGCAGAAUGUUAUCGGGGUGUUGGAUGUCCCCGUUGGCGCAUCAUAGAAGGCACUUAGGCAAAUCCGGGUGCGUAAUUCAAGGGUGUGACUGGAUAGAGCUUCGGCUCUAAACUAACUGGAAGCAGUUCCAAGAAAAGCCUCUAAGCUUCAGCUCUACGAGACCGUACCGCAAACCGACACAGGUGGACGGGAUGAAUAUUCCAAGGCGCUUGAGAGAACUCAGGAGAAGGAACUCGGCAAAUUAAUACCGUAACUUCGGGAGAAGGUAUGCCUCAUUAGUGUGAUGUGCCUGCGCACAAAGCAUGAAGAGGCCGCAGUGAAUCGGUGGCUGCGACUGUUUACUAAAAACACAGCACUCUGCAAACACGAAAGUGGACGUAUAGGGUGUGACGCCUGCCCGGUGCCGGAAGGUUAAGUGAUGGGGUGCAAGCUCUUGAUCGAAGCCCCGGUAAACGGCGGCCGUAACUAUAACGGUCCUAAGGUAGCGAAAUUCCUUGUCGGGUAAGUUCCGACCUGCACGAAUGGCGUAACGAUGGCCACACUGUCUCCUCCUGAGACUCAGCGAAGUUGACAUGGUUGUGAUGAUGCAAUCUCCCCGCGGCUAGACGGAAAGACCCCAUGAACCUUUACUGUAGCUUUGCAUUGGAUUGUGAACCGGCCUGUGUAGGAUAGGUGGGAGACGUUGAAGCGUGGUCGCCAGAUCGCGUGGAGUCAUCCUUGAAAUACCACCCUGGUCUGUUUGCGGUUCUAACCUAGGUCCCUUAUCGGGAUCGGGGACCGUGCAUGGUGGGCAGUUUGACUGGGGCGGUCUCCUCCUAAAGUGUAACGGAGGAGUUCGAAGGUACGCUAGAGACGGUCGGAAAUCGUCUUGAUAGUGCAAUGGCAUAAGCGUGCUUGACUGUGAGACUGACAAGUCGAACAGGUACGAAAGUAGGACAUAGUGAUCCGGUGGUUCUGUAUGGAAGGGCCAUCGCUCAACGGAUAAAAGGUACUCUGGGGAUAACAGGCUGAUACCGCCCAAGAGUUCAUAUCGACGGCGGUGUUUGGCACCUCGAUGUCGGCUCAUCUCAUCCUGGGGCUGUAGCCGGUCCCAAGGGUAUGGCUGUUCGCCAUUUAAAGAGGUACGUGAGCUGGGUUUAAAACGUCGUGAGACAGUUUGGUCCCUAUCUGCCGUGGGCGUUGGAUAUUUGACGGAGCCUGCUCCUAGUACGAGAGGACCGGAGUGGACGUACCACUGGUGUAUCGGUUGUCAUGCCAAUGGCAUUGCCGAGUAGCUACGUACGGAAGAGAUAACCGCUGAAGGCAUCUAAGCGGGAAACUCGUCUGAAGAUUAGAUAUCCCGGAGGCUUGACCUCCCUGUAGGGUCGUCCGAGACCAGGACGUUGAUAGGCUGGGUGUGGAAGUGCAGUAAUGCAUGUAGCUAACCAGUACUAAUUGCCCGUGUGGCUUGAUCCUAUAACCCUUGAGGUUGUA